UACAGAGGCCUCGAGCGUUAGGCGGAAUCACUGGGCUUAAAGCGUGUGUAGGCGGACUUCUAAGUACCUUGUGAAAUCCCACGGCUCACCCGUGGAACUGCUCGGUAUACUGGUCGUCUUGAGCCUUCUAGGGGCGAGUGGAACAAAUGGUGGAGCGGUGAAAUGCGUAGAUAUCAUUUGGAACGCCAAUGGUGAAAACAGCUCGCUGGGGAAGUGCUGACGCUGAGACACGAAAGCCAGGGGAGCGAACGGG
rnacentral:rRNA from 1 species